rnacentral:rRNA from 1 species
GUCUACGGCUAUGCCAUCCAGAAUGUGCCCGAUUUUGUCUGAUCUCGGAAGCUAAGCAGGGUUGGGCCUGGUUAGUACUUGGAUGGGAUACCAUCUAGAAAUACUAGAUGCUGUAGGUG